rnacentral:misc_RNA from 1 species
UCUCCGUAGGUGAACCUGCGGAAGGAUCAUUACUGAGUGAGGGCCCCUCGGGGUCCAACCUCCCACCCGUGUUUAACGAACCUUGUUGCUUCGGCGGGCCCGCCUCACGGCCGCCGGGGGGCAUUUGCCCCCGGGCCCGCGCCCGCCGAAGCCACCUGUGAACGCUGUCUGAAGUAUGCAGUCUGAGACAAUUAUUAAAUUAAUUAAAACUUUCAACAACGGAUCUCUUGGUUCCG